rnacentral:tRNA from 1 species
GGAGAUGUGGCUCAGUGCUAGAGCUCUUGCCUUGCACGUACAAGACCCUGGGUUCAAUCCCCAGUAUCGCCA